UGGGGAAUAUUGGACAAUGGGCGGAAGCCUGAUCCAGCAACGCCGCGUGAGGGAUGACGGCCUUCGGGUUGUAAACCUCUUUCAGUACCGACGAAGCGAGAGUGACGGUAGGAACAGAAGAAGCACCGGCCAACUACGUGCCAGCAGCCGCGGUAAUACGUAGGGUGCGAGCGUUGUCCGGAAUUAUUGGGCGUAAAGGGCUCGUAGGCGGUUUGUCGCGUCGGGAGUGAAAAUCCAGGGCUUAACUCUGGACUGGCUUCCGAUACGGGCAGACUAGAGGUAUGCAGGGGAGAACGGAAUUCCUGGUGUAGCGGUGAAAUGCGCAGAUAUCAGGAGGAACACCGGUGGCGAAGGCGGUUCUCUGGGCAUUACCUGACGCUGAGGAGCGAAAGUGUGGGGAGCGAACAGG
rnacentral:rRNA from 1 species